CAUGUACUCCCUUCGUUCGGAAUUACUUAUCACAGAAAUGGAUGUAUCUAGAUGUAUUUUAGUUUUAGAUACAUUCAUUUUUGAAAAAGUAAUUCCGAACGGAGGGAGUAUAUG
rfam:Triticum aestivum genome assembly, contig: Triticum_aestivum_CS42_TGACv1_scaffold_486713_6AS